rnacentral:rRNA from 1 species
CUACUCGUUUUUGGUUUUUCGGAAUCAGAGACUAAGCGAAAGUGAUAAGUUAGCCACCUGGGGAGUACGAACGCAAGUUUGAAACUCAAAGGAAUUGACGGGGGCCCGCACAAGCGGUGGAUUAUGUGGUUUAAUUCGAUGAUACGCGAGGAACCUUACCAAGGCUUAAAUGGGAAAUGACAGGUUUAGAAAUAGACUUUUCUUCGGACAUUUUUCAAGGUGCUGCAUGGUUGUCGUCAGCUCGUGCCGUGAGGUGUUAGGUUAAGUCCUGCAACGAGCGCAACCCCUGUCACUAGUUGCCAUCAUUAAGUUGGGGACUCUAGUGAGACUGCCUACGCAAGUAGAGAGGAAGGUGGGGAUGACGUCAAAUCAUCACGGCCCUUACGCCUUGGGCCACACACGUAAUACAAUGGCCGGUACAGAGGGCAGCUACACAGCGAUGUGAUGCAAAUCUCGAAAGCCGGUCUCAGUUCGGAUUGGAGUCUGCAACUCGACUCUAUGAAGCUGGAAUCGCUAGUAAUCGCGCAUCAGCCAUGGCGCGGUGAAUACGUUCCCGGGCCUUGUACACACCGCCCGUCAAGCCAUGGAAGUCUGGGGUACCUGAAGUCGGUGACCGUAACAGGAGCUGCCUAGGGUAAAACAGGUAACUAGGGCUAAGUCGUAACAAG